UGACGAUUGAUUUUGUUUGAGUAAAUAAAAGUUGAUCAAUCGUCAUUGAUUUACAUGGAAAACCAAUAUGGUUCUCGAAAUAUAGUUUAUAUUCUCAUUUAAAAGUGAAUUUUCUAGUCUGUUUUGCAUAGCUUGUCCGUAUUUACUUCCAUGUAAAAGUGCCAAUUUAAAGGUAAAAACUGUUAUAUAAAAAAGAAGAAAAGCCAAAUUUUUAAUCUUGUAUUAUCUGCAGUUUGUGUAGAUGGAAAAUUUAAACAUUUUACUGAUUGAAAGAUUUCUCCCAGAAAGGAUUUUCUUUCAAAAACGAUAAAUCAAGAAGAAGGAAAUCAAUCUUCUUUAGCUAAAAAUUUGCAAACUAAUUUCCUUUUUACAAUUUCAGAGAAGAAAUGAUUUCCUCGCUUUCCAACAACGAACGAGAGAGAGAGAGAGAGAGAGAAGAGAGGUUAAGGAUAGAAAAAAAAAACAAAUGAGGGUUAAGAUUUUGCUUUGUUUAAAAUGAAUCAGUUGGUAUGUACACAUAUCCCUAUUUCUUUUCUUUUUUCUGUUAGCGAUCUAUCAAAACAAUUCCCAAAACUGGAAAAGGAGGGAAGAACACUAAACUUUCGAUAAAGCUUCCUUACUAACCUCACGUUGAUUUUCUCCAGUUAUAAUCCUCGUUUACGAACGGGACUGAGGGAAUAUUACAAACAAAGAAAAUGUCUUUCUAUAGAUGCAAAAGAAAAAAAAAAACCCUUUUUCCAAUAUUCCAGAAUGUCCAUUUUUUCCUUCUUCAAAUUUCCUCCAGUUAUUCAGUCUUAUCUUCUAUCUCCGCGUGGUGUUGUGUGUGUAUAUCUUCGUAUUGUCUAUCCUGGUAUCAUUGUGAAAACUUUAAGAAAAUUUCGGAAUCCGUCUGAGAUAUUAUCCAUCAACACGUUUUUCCUUGUUGAUGAUAGGUGUGUGAAUUUUUCCAACCAUUUAUUUCAUCUCUUGUGAAGUGUCUUUCUUUCUCUCCCAGGUAUGAGUCAUCGGACGUCUCCUUACAUUGUCUAAAAAUCGUAACGAUAAAAAGAAAAAAAAACAAUGUUUCUUCGAUUAAUUUAUUUUUGAUCGAUAAAAAAUUGUUAUUGUUAAUAAUUUAAAAAAUGAAAAAAAUAAAAAGGCAAAUUUUAAUUUCUAUAUAUAUAUACAUAUAUACACACGAUAUGUUGUAUAUACAUAAUAUAAAGAAAUAUAUUUUCUCUCGGGUAGUUUCUAGAGUUAGGGAAUUAAAAUAUUUUGAGACAGGUAAGGAGAUUAAGAAUGAGAUGGAAAAGUUGAUAAAAGGAGUGGGUGUUAAAAAAAAUAUCUUUCCAAUUUACCACUUGUCUUUUGCCUAUAUUUCAAAAUGACAAUUCCAUAUAUAUGCACGAAUGUGAUGAGGUCUUUCUUAAUUCAUUUAUGUCCCUCAUAAUACCAUAACUGAUUAAAAAAAAAAAAACAUUGCUGAAUAGAUAAUCGGUGCCAAAGAUCGUUUUUAAUUUGUAUAGAUUUUGACGUAGAAUUAUUUUCGAUAAUUUUAUAAAGAAUCUCGUUUUUUUUAUUAUAAUUUUAAAUCAAAACGUUAACGUUUUGUGUGGUC
rnacentral:lncRNA from 1 species